AGCAAAUGAGUCAGGUGUGCUUCAUGAGUAUAUAUGCUUUAUGAGUCCUGGCUCAGCUGACUGAAAUUGCUCUUUACCUAGGAGCCUACAGAGUGAUCUUCGCACAACGAACCUCCAAGAGUUGCGCAUCAUGCUGGAAACUUGCUACAAUGAGAUUGACCAUCUCAAAGCAUCCUUGGCUGACAAUGCACACCCAGCCAUUGAACGCUUACAGGAACUUGAAGAUGAGAACCAUUUCCUAAAGAAAAGCUUGAACCAUAGGCGACAGGAAAGCGCUGCUGCAACACCAAUUUCAGGGGAAGUGAAAAGAAGUAUGGGCUCUCUUACGAAACGUAAUGCAGAACAGAAAAAGUGGGAGCAAAGCAAGUCAUCCAUCGCCACGCCAGACAAUGAGAAGCUGCAACUACAGGUCCGGUUGCUGAAAGAGGACAGAAAGGCUCUCCAGGCAGAGUUGGCAGCACGAGAGAGAGAGGUUGAACGGGUGCGGAAAGAAAAUUGUCGGCUGGAGAUUGAGCUGAAAAGGUCAUCUUUUCAGGUCAUUGAAAGUGGUAGAAGCAGCAAAAAUUGUAAAAGAGGUUCCGUGGAGGUGCAACCCAAGGAAAGAGAUGGGAAAUUUGACUUUGAGGUGGAAACAGUGAGCAGUUCUUUGAUGGAAGCACCAGACUUCUCGUCUUCCAUUGGUUCAUCAAUCAGUGAUUAACUACUGAUAAUCGAACCACCUAGAAAGCAGCAGUUAUAUACAAGGUGAUGGUGCUGCCAGCAAUGAUUAUGUCUCUUUCGGUAUAAACAGCCCCAAAUUACUACCAAUAUAUAAUGGUUAUUUUUAUGUGGGAGAUGAAACGAUAAAUGUUUUUUUGUUUCUUGAAUCAAUAUGGUAUGUGGAAGCAAGAACACUGCAGUGAACCCAGUGGAUAAAACAAUGAGGGAUAAAACAGGAGUCACAUAAGAUUGUAUUCAUUUUAGCUUAUAUAUUAGAAAGAAGGUGUGCAAGGGGAUAUAAUCGAGAUGUUUAACAUAAUGAAGGGUAAAAGCAAAACAAAUUCAGAAGAGAUUUUCAGCAGAAUGGACACCAACAGGAUCAAAGGCCACAGUCUGAGAGUAACGAAGAGGAGGUUUAUGUGGUUUAUAUUCAUGGCAGAGUACAAGAUGAGUACGUAACAUUCUUAUCCUCACCCACCUCGCUGUUUUGUAAAAAUCACAGCACUGUUUUAGAAUAAAU
rnacentral:lncRNA from 1 species